GACGUAAGGCGCGAGCGUUGUCCGGAUUAUUGGGCGUAAAGAGCUCGUAGGCGGCUUGUCGCGUCGACUGUGAAAUCCCGCGGCUCAACUGCGGGUCUGCAGUCGAUACGGGCAGGCUAGAGUUCGGUAGGGGAGACUGGAAUUCCUGGUGUAGCGGUGAAAUGCGCAGAUAUCAGGAGGAACACCGAUGGCGAAGGCAGGUCUCUGGGCAGUAACUGACGCUGAGGAGCGAAAGCGUGGGGAGCGAACAGG
rnacentral:rRNA from 1 species